UAUGACACGAAUAUUUGUUUGGUAAUUUUUGCAAUUGCCUUCAACUAUAUUCAAAAUUUUCAGAGUUCAGUCGACCAUCCAAAUAUUACGGCCGUCGGCAGCCGCAAAGAAGAUUUGGAUUGCUUUACUUCAAGCUUUUGGUUCAGUUUUCAGUUUACCACGUGAUUACACGUUACACGACAGGUUAUUGUUUGUAAUCAAGUGAAGAGGCCGUGUAAUUCAUGGCGUUGUAAACCCGCUUGUCACCCGCCUCAAUUUACAGGUUUUCCUAGCACAAAUGAACCAAAUAGGACUUUUUAUUGAGUUCCGUUGGCUGAAUGAAGUAUCAACACGUACAUUGAUGUCUAAUAAAGGAACGGCGUUAAUAAGAUUCUUGUAAUGCCUGUGUCUCUGUAGAAAAAAGAAAAUUAAAGUAACGGUUCUAACAAUCAAAUAAAGAAUUUAUAAUAUC